CUGGGAGAUAAUCUAUUAAAUAACAUUUGCUUCAGCUUCAACAACAAUUAUGUUACAUAUUGCUAAAUUGACAACUGAAUUCUCCCCUUAUUUUUUUUAAAAAAAUCUGUAAAUGAUAAAAAUACUAAAAUAUGUUUAUUUUCCAAUUAACAGUUCAUGUUGUGAUUUACUAUUACUUUAGUACACAUUUACUUGGCAUUUGCUUCUUCUUACCAUUCUGUUUACCAUUAAAGGGUAGGGAUCUUAUCUAUCUAUCUAUCUAUCUAUCUAUCUCACAGGUCAUUGAAAACUAAAAAUGCUGUAUUCAUAUAAAAAGGAAAGAGAUGAACAGUUGCAGUAAAGGAAGUAUUUUGAAUGGUCGGGGCAGAAGGGUGGGGUGCAGGCAAAACUUUGUUCCAUGUUAUGCCAGCCUAGGUCAGGCCUGAUAUCAUCAAGUGUUGACAGUGAGGUCAGCUGGAAAUCCAAUGGAUCCAGUACUGACUUAGUCACUCUGUAAAAUGUCCUGUCUUGCUGAUUUCCAUGGGAUGCUCUUUUGGCAGGUAGAAAGGGAAGAUUUCCACCUCAGGAGUGAGGCCACUAGAGUGGCGUAGGGCUGCAUGAAGGGAGACUUUUGCCCCAUUUACCCCCACCCCUCACUCCAGCAUGGUGGGUUGUGGUUUUGGAUUGUAGCCUUAGUUGUUCAUUAUGCAGGUUUCCAAUCUUGUCUCCUUUCUCGUGGUAGUCCUGUAAAGUAAGUGACUAAAUAUACCAGACAAAGAACUAUAGUCAUGCUUUGUGAUAGCAAUAGGGAACCUGUGGCCGUCCAUAUGUAGUUUGACUGCUAUAAAUUGUUGCAACCUGAGUAGGGUGCUGAUGCAUCUGUAAGGGCUGCAGGAGAGAACAUGGAGCCAAUGAUGUGAAGUUGCUCCUGGCAACUGAUUCAAGAAACUCCAUAGCAACAGAGUAAGUGAAUAGGGGUAGAACUACAGGAACUGCGGAAUCCUACAGAGCCAGCCAUGGCUGUCUAUUUCAUUGAACUUUAGCUACUAAGAUAUGGGCAAACAUACCAUCAUUUACCACUUGGUAAGUUGGUCAUCUGUAUUCAUCCAUGGGUUAUUUUUCAAAGUGUUUCUUAUUCAUGGUGUUGCAGUCAAAACUGCUAGGUGGACAACUAUUAUUCACCAAGUAUCGGAGGGCAAACUAAGUCAGUGUGGCUUGCCUUAGGCCUCUCGGCGAGUUAAUGGCAGAUUGAAAUUGUGAGCUUCAUUGUCUUAGACGCUAUGGUACAUGUAGCUCUUUAUUUUGAUAAGACAAACAUCCUUAACUUGAUUAGAUGAAUUUCAGACUGCCAUUUUAUCAAUUACUGAAAACUGAGCACACAUUAGUAAGGAAAGCUGAGGCUCUGAGGAGAGUUUACACCAUUUGAGGAAGUGCAUAAAGAUUUUGAAGGCCUUUUGAGGGAGAUACUAUUAAUAGAUAAGAAACUACUUAGUUGUGCUUUAGUUUAGCUUCGGGAAAGAUGGAUGAUAGAUACAAGUAGUUUAAAAAAAUAAAUCUACUUGUAAAUCUACCCCGAGAGUUGGUAGUUUUUAAACGGUUUAUAGCUUGUGAUGAUUCAUUUUGCUAGAUUUUAAAAAAUAUAUAUACAAACAAGACAAACAAUAAAGGAACAAAGAACAACAGGGGGGAGUGCAUUGUUGCCGUUGGGAUAAAAUAAACAGAAGAGUAGCACACUUCUGCAGAAAGCAUAAUACAAUAGAUUCCUCGAAGGGAGAAUUUGAGUCAUGUAUCGACAAGGUAGCCUUACCAAAUAGGGACUUGUGUUGUGGGGCGGGGCUAUGCAGUGCACUAUUUUUAUUUAUACAGCAUAUAAAUGGAGCCAAUACAAAAUCAGAAUGUUCUCAUUUUGUAACCCCUGUUAGAACCCUCCUAUGAAGAGUUAAAGAUACAUUUUUUUAUAAAUGUUCAAACCAGUGAGUAUUCUUCUCUGUAUUUCAAGCUGAAUUGCAUAGCCAUGUGGGCAGGGAGAAGGAGGCAAUUCAGUCAAAGUUUCAAGUCCCUGAGAUUUCAGUGGGAAGUUGCUAAGCAGGUCUGAGAUGAAGUUAAAAAUAUUUAAGUUUGGCCAGAUUUCACCCUGUGUGAAUAAGGAGGGGGGAAAUUAUCCAAGGGUCGGGUAAAACUGGCUCUUAGUAAGAUACCAUUGGCUCAUUUUGACAGUUAACGUGUAUAUAUCCUCAAGGAAAUAGUAAUUAAGGGAUGUUUUCCAGAAAUCCAGGUGUUGUGAAUUGAGUUUGGAACAUCUUGCUGGAACACUGUAUGUGAGCCAUCAACUUUUUCUUUAGAAUGCAAAGAAGUUCUCUGAGCUCACAAAACCUAAUUGGAGUCAAGAGUGUACCAAGAAAAGAAUGAAACACAUAAACAUGCCAUUUUGGAAUCUCACUCCUAAGGUUUUUCUAUUCCCUGAAUGGUCUCAGUCUCACAUAAAAGAUUGAAUCAGCUAUUGCAUAUGUAAAUAUUGGCAGCUUUUCGGGAAUUCUUUGCAGCCUCAAGCUAAGGGAGAGAAUGACCACUGCCUUUGUUCAUCUCCAGAGGGGCUUGUUUACAAGACUGAAUCUCUUGUGAGCAACUUAAGGCAGCUGUAAAUUAACUCUGCUUGGGGCUCAAAAAGAGGAAAAACAGAACCAACUCAUCUGUGUUUGGCUACAUUUUCACAAUUUCCACUUCAUUUUUUCCUUCGUUUAGAACAAAGGAAAAAAUAUGACAGAAGCUAUGCUUUUCCUACUCAGCUUAGUUUGCAAUCUUUGUCCUAGAUCCAAAGAACCAGCAACUAUGUGCCCAAGCAGUUUAAAUGUUUGCUUCCUGAACACAGGACCUCUCCCCAUGCCAAAUGAAAUCCCAUUUUUUAAAAAGGGGAGCUUUGGAAGCAAUUUGGUGAAUUGUCCCCAACCCAUUUCUGAAUGGAACUGAUUAAAACUAAUUAUUUUCACCUAAUUAUUAUACAUCAGGUCCUCAUUCCAAAUUUAUUUCUAUUAAACUCCCUACUGCAAAUGGAUUUCAGUGAUAUCACUAGGAGCAUGAUAACACCAAGAGGCUGUCUUUCUGCUACUCCUCCCUCCUUUCCCUAAGUUAAUUUACCAGAGUGAAGGUGGUGACAGGGAGAACUCUCAAGAACUGCAUGCCUGAGGACUAAAUUUCAGAUGCUGCUGGAGGCAGGUAGGCAGGCAGUCAUAGCUAUGCUAUGCGCAGUGCUUGUAAGGUAUUCCUCUCCACUGGGAACCUCAAUUGUUCAUGUACAAAAGUGGGAGCAUUUGGAAGCCUUUUCAAACAUACAGGUGUUGGGGGCAUGCCAGAAGGGCUUGCUGACACUGGGAAUUGACUAGCCAUGUAUCCCCGCUUCCCUUCAGCAUAUUCUAUGUAUAAAUGCUGAAAAGAACUAAUGUUUCUGACCAUUUAAAGAUGCCUAUUGCUUUCUUUUUGACAAUAAACUCGGACUACUGCAUAGUGAUCUUGGGGACACGGGUGGCGCUGUGGUCUAAACCACUGAGCCUCUUGGGCUUGCUGAUCAGAAGGUUGGUGGUUCAAAUCCAUGCAAUGGGGUGAGCUCCUGUUGCUCUGUCCCAGCUCCUGCCAACCUAGCAGUUCGAAAGCACACCAGUGCAAGUAAAUAAAUAGGUACCACUGCGGCAAGGAAGGUAAAUGGCAUUUCCAUGCAUUCUGGCACUUGUCACGGUGUUCUGUUGCGCCAGAAGCGAUUUAGUCAUGCUGGCCACAUGACCUAGAACAGCUGGACAAAUGCCGGCUCACUCAGCCUGGAGAGAGAUGAGCACCGUACCUACAGAGUCACCUUUGACUGGACUUAACCGUCCAGGCGUCCUUUACCUUUAGCUUUUACCUAUAGUCAUCUCGGCCUGGUAGGUAUGUCCUCUACCAUGAUGCUCCCUUCCCCUAUUAUCUCAUGGCAUUAGAAACAGUGAGCUAAAUCCAAACUGGUGAAUCUUUUGAAAUGUCCAUUUUUCCCCCUACCAAGUUUCAGCUUUUUGCAGGGGUUUAAGUGCAUAUGUUGUGCACAAAAGAAUGGGAAGAAUUUGUUGCAUUUGAACAUGGAGAAAUUUCAUUGUGCAAGCUCUGAUAUUUAUCAGCAAUUCUGUUACAGUAAUUCUGCUGUAAGAAGAAAUAGUGAAAUGCCAUUUUUCUUUAAAUGUACAGGCAGAAGGUUAAUUGCUGAAGUAACCAGCGACCUUGUUAAAACUUGUAAAGGUUCCAUGUACAUUAGCCUCCUAUACCUCAUCUUCAACUAUGGUACCUACUGCUUUAUCGCAGGGAUACUCUGCAGGAGAAAGAAAAUAAAGUGCUUCUUGAUCAAGAAUGAUUAGUGUUUCUUGAUCAAGCAAAGUAAACUGUAUGGAAUCUUAGUUAAAAUAGACAUUGACUUAAAAGGAUGAAUUGUUUCUCCUUUGUUUGCUUGUUCCUGUUUCUUACUGCUGCAAAAAAAUUGAAAGUCUUCAGCAAUAUUUAGUCUUCAUGAAUUUUGUCGUGCGUCACUAGUCCUAGAGUUGUUCCCUAGUCUGUCAAAAACAUGUAGAUGGGCUCUUCCACUAGAUACUAUGUACUUGGACGGACUUUCAAAAAGCUUUUGAUAAAGCCCCUCACUUAGCUGUUAUGAGAUAAAGAGUGUGUGUCCUGAUAAACUGGUUAAAGAACAGGCAGUGGUUAGAAGGACAAUGACUAUUCACAGGGCAGGGCAGCAAGAAGUGGAUGGCAAAAAAUAAAUGCCAUGUAACCUGUUCCCAGUUGGAUCUGUUCCUAAUAGAGGAGUAAGAAUUGAGUCCACAUUUGCAGGUGAUAAAAGCACACAACAACACAAAAGGAUCUCUCUAAACUGGGGAAAUGAGCAAUAAAAAGGCAAAUGAGAUUUAGUGUAAAUAAAUGACACAACUGUAACUUCCCCUAUACAUGAACAGGGUCAAGAGAUGCUGGGGGGAUGUCUUUGCUCUGCAAUAUGCAGCAAACUGAGUUGAUCCAUGCCUCCUGGUUCAUUGUGUAGAACAGAACAUGGUUUUGUAGGACUUUUCUGUCACAGGUGUGAAUUAAAGUUUUAGAAACCUUUGAAGUUUAAAAGCAGUCCCCCAUCCUCAACACGUAGCAGAAGUUCCAAGCUUUCCAAAUGCAGCCACAAGUGGAAUGAUGAUGUGCCAUCUUUGCAGGGACUUGUAUGGGGAAAGGUGACUAAUGGGAUACCCAUCUUGUUUCAAAGAAACUUUUGUUAGCACAGGGGGGCGGGGUGGCAGAAGUCCCCAUCACUGCUAAAAUGGGGGUGUAUGGAUGGACUAGGCUCAAAGGAUGUGCAUUGGGUACAAUGUACCUCUUCCACACUGCAAAACUGAAUUCCUUUU